AUAAGGAAUGAGCUACACCAGCCCAGUAAAGACAUCACACUAUCUCACCGCCACGGAAGUAAAGGUGGGUAGAAAACAAAAAUGACCAAUGGAGCAUAAUUUAUAACAAACUCGUUUAUUAACAUAAAAACCUUUACUGUCCACUUACCUCGGUGAGAUCCAUGAAAACAACAUAUGAAAGCAAUAACAUUAUCAUCAUCAUGAAAUCAUAUAAACUUUAUAACAUAACACACAUCAUACCUUUACAUGUCAAUCAUCAGAAAACAUAUUUCCUCUUUUACCAGCCUACUAGUAUCCCUGGGGAUCCAUAGGGGGUCCCUGCUACACGUGAACCAUUAACAUUUACAACUUUAUUCGAGGGCCGCCCCCAUACCCCGUCCGGU
rnacentral:lncRNA from 1 species